rnacentral:rRNA from 1 species
CGGACGGGUGAGUAACGCGUGGAAAACCUGCCGUAUACUGGGGGAUAACACUUAGAAAUAGGUGCUAAUACCGCAUAAGCGCACAGCUUCGCAUGAAGCGGUGUGAAAAGCUCUGGUGGUAUACGAUGGUUCCGCGUCUGAUUAGCUAGUUGGUGGGGUAAUGGCCUACCAAGGCAACGAUCAGUAGCCGGCCUGAGAGGGUGAACGGCCACAUUGGGACUGAGACACGGCCCAAACUCCUACGGGAGGCAGCAG